rnacentral:rRNA from 1 species
AUCAGGUAGGAAUACCCGCUGAACUUAAGCAUAUCAAUAAGCGGAGGAGAAGAAAGUAACAACGAUUCCCCUAGUAACGGCGAGUGAAGAGGGAUGAGCUCAAGCCCUAAAUCUGGACUUUGUAAAAGUUCCGAAUUGUAGUCUGAAGGUUUUCACCAAUGGGCGACUCGAGGUCCAAGUCCCUUGGAAAAGGGUGCCAGAGAGGGUGAGAGUCCCGUAUGGCCAUCGAGUCGCUUUCCGGUGGAUUCCGGAGAGUCGGGUUGCUCGGGAUUGCAGCCUGAAUGGGAGGUAAAUUUCUCCUAAAGCUAAAUACUGGCGAGAGACCGAUAGCGAACAAGUACCGUGAGGGAAAGAUGAAAAGAACUUUGGAAAGAGAGUGAAACAGUACGUGAAAUUGUUGAAAGGGAAACGCUUGAAGUCAGUCGCAUUGUCUGGGAAUCAGUCUUGCUUUUGCUUGAUGUACUUUCCAGUUAAUGGGUCAGCAUCAGUUUUGAUCGUUGGAUAAAGGCUGAAGGAAUGUGGCAUCUCCGGAUGUGUUAUAGCCUUCAGUUGCAUACAACGGUUGGGACUGAGGAAUUCAGCACGCCGCAAGGCCGGGUCUCGUACCACGUUCGUGCUUAGGAUGCUGGCAUAAUGGCUUUAAUCGACCCGUCUUGUAACACGGACCAAGGAGUCGUCUUCGUAUGCGAGU